UACGUAGGUGGCGAGCGUUGUCCGGAAUCAUUGGGCGUAAAGAGCGCGUAGGUGGCUUGUCAGGUCUGAUGUGAAAUCUUGGGGCUUAACCCCAAGCGUGCAUCGGAAACCGGCUUGCUAGAGUCUGGGAGAGGAGAGUGGAAUUCCUGGUGUAGCGGUGAAAUGCGUAGAUAUCAGGAGGAACACCGGUAGCGAAGGCGGCUCUCUGGAACAGUACUGACGCUGAGGCGCGAAAGCUAGGGGAGCGAACAGGAUUAGAUACCCUGGUAGUCCUAGCCGUAAACGAUGGACACUAGGUGUCGGGGGUGUCGACUCCCUCGGUGCCGAAGCUAACGCAUUAAGUGUCCCGCCUGGGGAGUACGGCCGCAAGGCUAAAACUCAAAGGAAUUGACGGGGGCCCGCACAAGCAGUGGAGCAUGUGGUUUAAUUCGACGCAACGCGAAGAACCUUACCUGGGCUUGACAUGUACGUGGUAGGAAUCGGAAACGUGACCGACCCCUCGGGGAGCGUACACAGGUGGUGCAUGGCU
rnacentral:rRNA from 1 species